AGAUAGUAGGAGUGCUCGAAAGAGAGCCGUAACACAGGUGCUGCAUGGCUGUCGUCAGCUCGUGUCGUGAGAUGUUGGGUUAAGUCCCGCAACGAGCGCAACCCUUGUCAUUAGUUGCUACAUUCAGUUGGGCACUCUAAUGAGACUGCCGGUGACAAACCGGAGGAAGGUGGGGAUGACGUCAAGUCCUCAUGGCCCUUAUAGGUGGGGCUACACACGUCAUACAAUGGAUGGUACAAAGGGUCGCCAACCCGCGAGGGGGAGCCAAUCCCAUAAAGCCAUUCGUAGUCCGGAUCGCAGUCUGCAACUCGACUGCGUGAAAUCGGAAUCGCUAGUAAUCGUGGAUCAGAAUGUCACGGUGAAUACGUUCCCGGGUCUU
rnacentral:rRNA from 1 species